CCUACGGGAGGCAGCAGUGGGGAAUUUUGGACAAUGGGCGAAAGCCUGAUCCAGCAAUGCCGCGUGCAGGAAGAAGGCCUUCGGGUUGUAAACUGCUUUUGUACGGAACGAAACGGUCUGCUUUAAUACAGUGGGCUAAUGACGGUACCGUAAGAAUAAGCACCGGCUAACUACGUGCCAGCAGCCGCGGUAAUACGUAGGGUGCGAGCGUUAAUCGGAAUUACUGGGCGUAAAGCGUGCGCAGGCGGUUAUAUAAGACAGUUGUGAAAUCCCCGGGCUCAACCUGGGAAUUGCAUCUGUGACUGUAUAGCUAGAGUACGGUAGAGGGGGAUGGAAUUCCGCGUGUAGCAGUGAAAUGCGUAGAUAUGCGGAGGAACACCGAUGGCGAAGGCAAUCCCCUGGACCUGUACUGACGCUCAUGCACGAAAGCGUGGGGAGCAAACAGGAUUAGAUACCCUGGUAGUCCACGCCCUAAACGAUGUCAACUGGUUGUUGGGUGCAUUAGUACUCAGUAACGAAGCUAACGCGUGAAGUUGAACCGCCUGGGGAGUACGGCCGCGAAGGUUGAAACGUCAAAUGAAUUGACGG
rnacentral:rRNA from 1 species